UCAAAUAGAUUCUCUCUUACAAAACUUCAGGAGAUGACUUCCAAACUAGGAAUUCUUUCAGGUUUGGCAGCAAAUUGCUUUCUCUAUUUUCGUUUCUAGAGGUGGCCCUAGUGGACGAGAAGAUGCGGGAAGCGAGGCUGAGGUGGUUCGGGCAUGUACGGAGGAGGGGUCCCGAUGCCCCGGUGAGGAGCUGCGAGCGGCUGGNN
rnacentral:lncRNA from 1 species